CCUACGGGUGGCAGCAGUGGGGAAUAUUGGGCAAUGGGCGCAAGCCUGACCCAGCAACGCCGCGUGAAGGAAGAAGGCUUUCGGGUUGUAAACUUCUUUUCUCAGGGACGAAACAAGUGACGGUACCGAAGGAAUAAGCCACGGCUAACUACGUGCCAGCAGCCGCGGUAAUACGUAGGUGGCAAGCGUUAUCCGGAUUUAUUGGGUGUAAAGGGCGUGUAGGCGGGAGCGCAAGUCAGCGGUGAAAACUCAGGGCUCAACCCUGAGCCUGCCUUUGAAACUGUGUUUCUUGAGUGCGGGAGAGGUACGCGGAAUGCGGUGUGUAGCGGUGAAAUGCGUAGAUAUACGGAGGAACACCAGUGGCGAAGGCGGAUUGCUGGACAGUAACUGACGCUGAGGCGCGAAAGCGUGGGGAGCAAACAGGAUUAGAUACCCCUGUAGUC
rnacentral:rRNA from 1 species